AUGAAUGCUGGCGGCGUGCCUAAUACAUGCAAGUCGAGUGGGUUUAGACCCACGGCGAACGGGUGAGUAACACGUAGGUAUCUGCCCGAUAGUGGGGCAUACCCAGCCGAAAGGUUGGAUAAUUCCCCAUAUUAUCCAGACGCAAGUCUGGAUGAAAGAUUUAUCGCUAUCGGAGGAACCUGCGGCCUAUCAGCUAGUUGGUGGGGUAAUGGCCUACCAAGGCAACGACGGGUAGCUGGACCGAGAGGUUGACCAGCCACAAUGGGACUGAGACACGGCCCAUACUCCUACGGGAGGCAGCAGUAAGGAAUUUUGCGCAAUGGACGAAAGUCUGACGCAGCGACGCCGCGUGACCGAAGAAGUCUUUCGGGAUGUAAAGGUCUUUUGAUUGGGAAAAUUGUGAUUGUACCAAUCGAAUAAGCACCGGCUAAUUACGU
rnacentral:rRNA from 1 species